CAGGUCGACCUUGAGGACCAAGAAUGGUCACUUCUCCGUUCAGCCUAAAUUACAAGGAUGUCCUUGGUGAGUUGAGAAGGAAAGAGUGACAAAAUAAAAACAAAAAUGGAAUAAAAAAGGCAUCGAAAGAAAAAAAAUCAUCAAAUAAUUUUGAAAUGCAAAAGCCAGUGUUUCAAUCUGCUACGGCUUCACAAUUAGGCGUCCAUUCAACCAUCAAAAUUCGAUGAAAAUGGAAGUCAGACAUCCAUCCAACAGUCGAAAUUUGAUUAAAAUAAGACUGUUGGGAGAAGCAUAUCUGCCCUUCAGCUACAAAGUAUAAACACAGGAACUAGAAAACCAACCUUUCUCACAGGAUGGUGCCGACAGAACCAUAGACUCUCUGAAGGAGGAGAGGCUCUCAAUAGUCGUCUAGAAGCGUUGUUCUUCUCGACGCUGUUUUCAAGCAUCGGUUGUGGAGUUUGUGACCCGAAUCUCAGAUGGAGACCUCCCUUAGAUAUCGAAGCGAUUCCAAAGCUUUAAAGAAUGAAAUCCCAAUCGACGACUCCAAAAUCCACUUGCAGUCAGUAUUGGACGCUGGUGUAUGCUUUUAUUUAGUUUAAUACAUACUUAGGUUCAUCCGGAGCUGGAUACAAGAGCGGAACUCCGAGAUAUCUCUGGGCUCUUUUGAGAGAGGCCUGUUUCAUAGAAGCUCAUUCUGUUUAGGCGUUAGUUCAUAGGCUCAUUUACUGCGACGCGUUAUGACAUGGCAGUGGUACAGCUGACCACCAUGUCAUUCUACGUGGCGCACAAUGCUAUAUAAAUAAACCCACUCCCUCUAAUUGGAUCUCUCAAAUCCCCCCCAAAAAAAAAAAUAAAUAAAUAAAAAAUUGAGAACACUGCUGCUCUCUGCAACUGCUCUCUCUGCAACAAUGGCGGUAAGUUGUUGAGUUCUUCUUCUUUUUCUUUGUCUCCGUCUUCUUCUUCUUCAUCCUCGUUCUCCUCUUCCUCUUCCUCUUCCUCUUCUUCUUCUUCUUGUUCUUCUUCGUCUUCGUUCUUCCUCUUCUUCAUCUCUGUCUUUUUCUUCGUCUUCGUUCUUCCUCUUCUUCAUCGCUGUCUUCUUCUUCGUCUUCGUUCCAUCUUCUUCUUCCAUUUUUUUUUUCUCUUCGUCUUCGUUCUUCCUGUCCGUCUUCUUCGUCGUCUUCUUCUUCUUUCUUCCUCUCCGUCUUCCUCUUCGUCGUCUGCUUCAGGUAUUGUUCAGAUCCGUCUUCUUCGUCUUCUUCCUCUUUUUAGAAAUAACAGAGGGAGUUUUGAUAUUUCAAUCCGUUUGGAUUGCUGUUAUAUUGCAAAUGCUUUAUAUUUGAUUGAAAGAUGUAAUCAAAUAUAUGAACAAAGGUUUUGUUACUUUGGAA